CCCAAACUCCCUCGCUUGACACACAAAUUGUUUACGAUUCAUUAAAAAGCAAAAUUGCAUAUCCCAGUGCUGGCAGCUGAGUCCAUAUGGGUGCAAGGGGUAUUCACUCAUCUCUUUGUAUGCUGGCAGUACCAAACCGAAGUUUAGCACUGUGCAGCUGAGAUUUUGUGCAGCCAGACGAUGCAUGAGAUGCUGAGUCCUCAGGAAAAGGGACCAAUGACUAAUAAAUCAGGUGUUUCUUCCUUCACCUACUGGAAUCAAUAAGAAGCAGGAGAAAGAAGUUCUUCUUUGCAUGAGAUAACACAGACAAACAGCACCAUGUAGUGGGAAUCCACAGGGAAUCAGCUCAGCUCCCCAGUACACCGAACAAGCUGAUUUCUCCAGCCCAAACUCUGACAUAUUCAUAAUGAAUCCAGAAAGAAUCAGAGACUGAUUCACAGCAUAGCUACAACUCCAUUACAACAGAAAAACCCCAGCCUGCAGCUCCAGUUAUCCUUUGGCCAAAGGAACAGACAACUGCUAUUCAAGCACCUCACCUUGAGAAAACUCUUAGUAAAAUCACAUUUUUCUACCUCUGGGGAAAAAGCAGCAAUUGGCAGCUGCCUCUGGAGGGAAAUCAAGCAGAGGAUCUGCUCCAAGAUGAUACUUUCUGAUCCCACCUCUGAUCAGUAAGGCAGCCACAGCAAAGCCACUGCCUCCUACUUCCUCCUCUCCCCCUCCAAAUUCCCCGGGCAGCCAAACUGUGGAUGUGUAAUGGCUCAGGAGCAGCAGCCUGGUCAGUAGGUGAGAGAUAUUACUCCCACUACAUACAGAAAGUACAGUCACGGGAAGACACAUGGUUUGGGAUAAGGAGCUGCUAUGAAAUGCACUCUGGGCAACGGGGCAUGGAUCUUUUCCUCUCUCCAAGUGUCCACCAACUUUGUGUCCAAAACUUUGCUGUUUGAGAAGAUAUGCAAUGCAGAAUGCAUGUCAUUAAUUGUGUCCAGCAAUAAACAAAAUAUUUAGUGCAUUUUUAAUGCUGUAAAACCUUUUAAAAUACUUUUAAACCUUCCACUGUGGGACAGAAUUAAAAUUGUUUUGCUAUCUGCAACAGGCCUGGCCUCCAAUCACAUAAUUAAGCAGUCACAAAUUGCAAAAUUGGUUUGUUUGGUUCCCACACCACACAAAUACUGAUAAAAGCUUUUUUUGUUUGUCAGUUAGUGCACUGUAACUUACAUGUUAUGGGAAAACAGUUUGGCAAAUUUGGAGCUUGAAGAGCACAUCACAUCUCCCCAUGUUUUCUCCACAAUGGAUACUUUACUCACUGUGUUCUGUCUGGUUUCAGUGGCUGCAUGCACUCAGAUAAUGUAGCAGCUACAACUCGAAAUAAAAGAUUUAAGGCUU